UUUUGGACAGAAAAGGCAAACAAUGUUCAUUCUUACAAGAAAACCUGAGCACAAGUUACAUGCCAAUCGCUCGCACAGCACGCAUACAUGCAUGCAUAUGCAAAGCGUCAAACUUCAUCUCAGCUUCCUCCUGAACAAAUCUUCAAUGUCAAAUUUGGAAAUAAUGCAAAAACUCUACAGAACUAAGCUUGAAAUUACACAUUACACACCAGCUUUAUACACAACAACCUCAUUAAAUACUUUCAUGCCAGCCCAAUGAACAGAAACUUGGCUUGCAGAACUCAAUAUUCAUACUCUGAUAUCUAAUUUGCAGAGUGAGAUCCUCCAUUUUAUCUUUCUUUCCCCCUAUCUGAAACCUUCAACUACAUGUCUUCGUCAGGUAAAAUCAAAGUCAAGAGAGAAUACUUGACCCGGAGAUAGAUCUUUCCCUUGUCAACAUUAAGCUUUGCACCAGACACAACCCAGUAUCCUGGUGAGUCUUGGGGUCCUCUUGUCAUUUCCGUUGUGUCAACAAAUUUCAACAGUUUAGGGUCCUGGGCAGCCACAGGAGGACCUCCAGGGUACACAGCUGAAUUU
rnacentral:misc_RNA from 1 species